GAUGAACGCUGGCGGCGUGUCUAAGGCAUGCAAGUCGAACGAAACCUUCGGGUUGAGUGGCAAACGGGUGAGUAUCGCGUUGGUAACCUACCCCUUCGUCGAGCAUAACAGGGAGAAAUCCCUGCUAAUACUCGAUAGUCUCGUCUCCCAUAUGGGCUGACGAGUAAAGUUUUUUCGCGAAGGGAGGGGCCUACGUCCUAUCAGCUUGUUGGUGAGGUAAUGGCUCACCAAGGCUAUGACGGGUAACUGGUCUGAGAGGAUGACCAGUCACAUUGGGACUGAGACACUGCCCAA
rnacentral:rRNA from 1 species